UGGAAGGAUGCCUCUUGCAGAUGUAGCAGAGGAGGUAUCUGCAGAGGCUUCCUUGGCU
rnacentral:pre_miRNA from 1 species